UACGUAGGGUGCGAGCGUUAAUCGGAAUUACUGGGCGUAAAGCGUGCGCAGGCGGUUCGUUAAGUUCGAUGUGAAAGCCCCGGGCUCAACCUGGGAACUGCAUUAGAAACUGGCGAGCUUGAAUGCGGCAGAGGGGGGUGGAAUUCCGCGUGUAGCAGUGAAAUGCGUAGAGAUGCGGAGGAACACCGAUGGCGAAGGCAGCCCCCUGGGCCGACAUUGACGCUCAGGCACGAAAGCGUGGGGAGCAAACAGG
rnacentral:rRNA from 1 species